rnacentral:lncRNA from 1 species
CCAACCCCACUUCUGAAAAAUGGGGAAAAAAAGAGAAACCUUUGCAUGUCUCCGAGGCUUCAAAUGAAAGAAGGGAUAGAAAAAGACUUGGUUGAGUGGGGUGAUGGGGCCUCACAUAGCUAAACUUGCAUUAGUGUGGUCUCCAUGUACACCAAGGUAUAAUCAAGUGCUUUAGACCAGGAUCUUAACUUUUUCCCAAAGGAGGGAUUAGGGGAACUUCAUUGACAAUUGAAA